rnacentral:rRNA from 1 species
UACGGGGGGGGCAAGCGUUGUUCGGAAUUACUGGGCGUAAAGGCUCGUAGGCGGCCAACUAAGUCGGAUGUGAAAUCCCCAGGCUUAACCUGGGAACUGCAUCCGAUACUGGAUGGCUUGAAUCCGGGAGAGGGAUGCAGAAUUCCAGGUGUAGCGGUGAAAUGCGUAGAUAUCGUGGAGGAACACCGGUGGCGAAGGCGGCACUCCGUCGGACCG